rnacentral:rRNA from 1 species
UACAGAGGGUGCAAGCGUUAAUCGGAAUUACUGGGCGUAAAGCGUGCGUAGACGGUCAUGUAAGUCGGGUGUGAAAGCCCCGGGCUCAACCUGGGAAUUGCAUUCGAGACUGCAUGGCUAGGGUGCGGAAGAGGGAAGCGGAAUUCCGGUGUAGCGGUGAAAUGCGUAGAUAUCGGAAGGAACACCAGUGGCGAAAGCGGCUCCUGGUCCAGCACCGACGUUCAGGCACGAAAGCGUGGGAGCAAACAGG